GAUGAUUUCCUGUUGUGGCUUCAUUGGGCCCUGCAUGUGCCUGUCUCCUGCACCUAAACCUGAUUCCUGCUUGCCUCCUGCCUGACACCUGGCUUCAUCUGAAAUUCACCACUGCCGCACAUCAGCACAAGACCAGCAAACCACUUAAAUCCAGGGCUGCCAACACUUCAGUAGCUCUGACAAAGGCUGGGUGGCCAAACCAUUGGCAGAACCUGUGGAGAAUGAAAAAAGAAUAGAAUGAUCAAGAAUAGAAACAGAGAGUAAAAAGAGUCAUUUAACGGUCUGGUUUCGUUGGAAAGGUCUGCUUAGAUUCCAGACGUCCCCCACAUGUACUUCCCUACUUCUAUAC